CUACGGGCGGCUGCAGUGAGGAAUAUUGCACAAUGGGGGGAACCCUGAUGCAGCAACGCCGCGUGGAGGAUGACGCAUUUCGGUGUGUAAACUCCUUUUAUAUGCCAAGAAAAUGACGGUAGCAUAUGAAUAAGCACCGGCUAACUCCGUGCCAGCAGCCGCGGUAAUACGGAGGGUGCAAGCGUUACUCGGAAUCACUGGGCGUAUAGGACGCGUAGGCGGGUUGGAAAGUCAGGUGUGAAAUCCUACAGCUUAACUGUAGAACUGCACUUGAAACUUCUAAUCUAGAGUAUGGGAGGGGGAGAUGGAAUUAGUGGUGUAGGGGUAAAAUCCGUAGAUAUCACUAGGAAUACCUAAAGCGAAGGCGAUCUCCUGGAACAUUACUGACGCUAAGGCGUGAAAGCGUGGGGAGCAAACAGGAUUAGAUACCCGCGUAGUC
rnacentral:rRNA from 1 species